rnacentral:rRNA from 1 species
AACAUAGGUAGCGAGCGUUGACCAUCAUGACUGGGCGUAAAGGGUGCGUAGGCGGACAUUAUUAAAACGGCUUGAGAGGAAUGAUUGCGUAUCGACGCAAACCUGCUUUUGCAAUGUUUGUCUACUGAGAUAGGCUGGGGUUAUUGGAAGGGAAUGUCGAAUGGGCUAAGCUCCAACAUAUUUAGUAACACCAAUGGCGAAGGCAUAUAACUAUACCUAUUCUGACGCUAAGCGAACGAAACUUGUGGGCGCAAGAUGG